GUUCCAUUAGCUCAGAUGGGAGAGCACUCGACUUUUAAUCGAGGAGUCAUGGGUUCAAGUCCCAUAUGGAGCA
rnacentral:tRNA from 1 species